rnacentral:lncRNA from 1 species
AGUUGAGAAGCAAUGCUGUUUCACCUCCCUGAGAGAAUUGCCUUGUUUGUGAAAUACUACAGAAAAACCUGUAUUUUCUCCAGAAAAUGAAAGGUCUUGGCCUGAGUAAAUCAAGGCAGAAAACUCACCCCCGUGAAAGCUGCAGCUCUGAGAGUGUGUGGGCAGGGCUUCAACAGAAUACCUGUGGCUGCACUUACAAAAGGCAGCCAGAAGGACCCGUCCAUUCUGGAAAGUACCUUUAGUCUGAAAGCAUUUAUUGCAGAAAAAAUAUGAGGCUUGCUGGUAGUAUUCCCAGGUGACAAAUGUGCACCCAACACCCUACAGAAAAGAAGAACCAUAAAAUAAUUAAUUAUUCCAUUGUAACUCCUGCCUGGAAAACAUCUGAAAGAAGUCACUAGAUUCAGCCCACAUUCAAGAUGAGAAAUACCAGAAGGCAGAGAACACUGAGGCUGUUUUAGAGGCUGUCAACCCCAGGGAGACAGACAGCAAAUAAGAUGCUUGGAUGUUUUCACACCACUCUGACACAUGGAUGGAAGGUUAGAAGACAACAAAGGAAUGGGCUGGGAAGGACUCCAAAAGCAGAAUCAGAGAUUAUAUCAUUCCUUGGAAAUGGAGAAAAGGAUCAAAAAAGCUGAAUAAAAGGUAGUCCCAGCAACAA